GACGAACGCUGGCGGCGUGCUUAACACAUGCAAGUCGAACGGAAAGGCCCUGCUUUUGUGGGGUGCUCGAGUGGCGAACGGGUGAGUAACACGUGAGUAACCUGCCCUUGACUUUGGGAUAACUUCAGGAAACUGGGGCUAAUACCGUAUCGGAUCUCCUGCUGCAUGGUGGGGGUUGGAACGUUUCGGCGGUUGGGGAUGGACUCGCGGCUUAUCAGCUUGUUGGUGGGGUAGUGUCUUACCAAGGCUUUGACGGGUAGCCGGCCUGAGAGGGUGACCGGGCACAUUGGGACUGAGAUACGGACCAGACUCGAACGGGAGGCAGCAGGGGGGAAUAUUGCACAAUGGGCGGAAGUCUGAUGCAGCAACGCCGGGGGCGGGAUGACGGUCUGCGGGGUGUAAACCGCUUUCGCCUGUGACGAAGCGGGAGUGACGGUAAUGGGUAAAGAAGCACCGGCUAACUACGUG
rnacentral:rRNA from 1 species